UGUCUUUGGAGGUCUUCGAGAGUUACUUCCAAAUACUCUAUAGGUGUAAGACGUUCACUUCGACUAUGACAUUAUUUUCCAGUCGACAGUGUGGUCCUUAAUGGUUCAAGAGACCAUUUCCCAAUCCGUCUCGAUAAGAAGGAAAUGAUAUACAUGUUACUCUACUUGCAUGUGUCAUACCCAAAAUUUACCCAUAAAUUAAUAAAUGUUUUCAUUCAUC
rnacentral:lncRNA from 1 species